CUGCUGGGCUUUCUCAGGCUAAUCAUUUUCACACCAGCAUUAACUGCAACAUCCUAGUUAGAAGCAAAUGGGGAGACAGGUCUACUGGAGGUGGCCAGACCUCAGAGGGAAGGAGGUCCAUGCCUCUUGCCGGAAGCCAACAUCAGGGCCACUCUCAGCUAUUUCAAAGAUGGGAGCAAGUCAGAGAGAGGUUGAGCAGCUUACCCUGUGUCACACAGCAGCAGUGGAGUUGGGGUAGGAACUCAGGCAGUCUGGCUCUAAGUAGUAGGAAAAGUGGCUGAGCCCCAGGAUCCUAAACACAAGAACUCAUUCUCCUCGGCCUCCAUGCUUUCUCCUCUCUCCACCAGAAGAUUCUAAAGGGACAUAAUGAAGGAGCAGAGAACAAGGCGAGGCAAAAGCAGACACGACUGUUAAUGGGACUCCUGCUGCAAACCCUGACAUGAUGGAUCCUGCAUGUGAGAUCACACAUACCCCCUGCAGUGGAAGCAUGGACUUUUAACCGCUGGACCAGAAGGGAAGUCCUUCACCUUACUCUUUCAUAUUAAGAAAAACAUCAACCAACAUUCAUGUUGGGAACCACUUAUUCAUCAACUGCAUUCAACGAAAGCAUUCACUGAGAAUCAC
ensembl:lncRNA